rnacentral:rRNA from 1 species
CCUACGGGUCGCACCAGUGGGGAAUAUUGGACAAUGGGCGAAAGCCUGAUCCAGCAAUGCCGCGUGUGUGAAGAAGGUCUUCGGAUUGUAAAGCACUUUCGACGGGGACGAUGAUGACGGUACCCGUAGAAGAAGCCCCGGCUAACUUCGUGCCAGCAGCCGCGGUAAUACGAAGGGGGCUAGCGUUGCUCGGAAUGACUGGGCGUAAAGGGCGCGUAGGCGGUUUAUGCAGUCAGAUGUGAAAUCCCCGGGCUUAACCUGGGAACUGCAUUUGAGACGCAUAGACUAGAGGUCGAGAGAGGGUUGUGGAAUUCCCAGUGUAGAGGUGAAAUUCGUAGAUAUUGGGAAGAACACCGGUGGCGAGGGCGGCAACCUGGGCCGACACUGACACUGAGAGACGAAAGCUAGGGGAGCGAAUGGGAUUAGAUACCCUUGUAGUC